AGAAAACAAAAUAGAAACUUUGGACAAUAAACAGAAACCCUGUUGUCUUGUUCUCAGGUGUAGCGUUCAGUGUGGCUCCUCCUGCAGUUCUUCUUGGCUCCCAGAGGUCAGCACCAGGCAGUGCUCUCAGGCAACUUUAAAAAGGAAUGUCACCUUGAACUCCAGUGGAAGGAAGUUAAUUGAAUUUUACUACAAGCAAACUUCUGGAAAAAUCAAGGUGUGGUCAUCAGAACUGUCCUUGAAAGGGGAGGAGUAGGCAAUCAGAUACCUCUGUAAUUGGAUUUGAAAUUACUGGUCCUUCCAUUGCACAAAUUAUAAAAAAAGAAGAGACGCACGAAGGAAAAGCGUUUUACCCAAGGUCACACAGUUAGUUGGUGUCAGAGCUGGGACUACAGCCCAACCAAGUCUCUAAGCUCAUAUCAAGUUUUUAUUUCUAUUCCAUCACUGCUCUAAUUUUCAGAGAGUGAAAUUUGCUACAUAUGGC
rnacentral:lncRNA from 1 species